rnacentral:rRNA from 1 species
GACAGAGGGUGCAAACGUUGUUCGGAAUUACUGGGCGUAAAGCGCGUGUAGGCUGUUCGGAAAGUCGGAUGUGAAAGCCCUGGGCUCAACCUAGGGAGUGCAUUCGAAACUUCCGAGCUGGAGUUCUGGAGAGGAAGGCGGAAUUCUCGGUGUAGAGGUGAAAUUCGUAGAUAUCGAGAGGAACACCGGUGGCGAAGGCGGCCUUCUGGACAGUGACUGACGCUGAGACGCGAAAGCGUGGGGAGCAAACAGG